rnacentral:rRNA from 1 species
GUGGAUUAGAUACCCUGGUAGUCCACGCCGUAAACGUUGGGCACUAGGUGUGGGACUCUAUCGACGGGUUCCGUGCCGUAGCUAACGCAUUAAGUGCCCCGCCUGGGGAGUACGGCCGCAAGGCUAAAACUCAAAGGAAUUGACGGGGGCCCGCACAAGCGGCGGAGCAUGUGGCUUAAUUCGAUGCAACGCGAAGAACCUUACCUGGGCUGAACUAUGCGGGAAAAGCCGUAGAGAUACGGUGUCCUUCGGGGUCCGCGAUAGGUGGUGCACGGCCGUCGACAACU